UCACUGCCCCACUUUAAAUCAACCGACGGCAAUGUAUAUAAAGGCGUCCGAGAUCUCAAUUCCGGCAUAACACGUUCUUUUGUGCAGAUUUAUUCUUUGUUUUCACUUUAAUCCUAAAAAACCAACCAAAAACCAAAAAUGGGCGCAGAAAAAGUAUCCAUGAACAUCGUCGUUGUCGGACAAGUUCAAUCUGCCAAGGCCGCCAAGACUGUUGCCAAGGCCACACCAGCCACCAGCCAACUGAUGAACUGUUAACUCAUGUAGUCCAUACAUUGCAAAACUCAAAAAUGCCAUAGCCCAAACAGUACAAUAAUAUGUAAUUCGUAUCAGUAAUGACAACCGCAAAAUAAAACAGUAAUUUCGGAUAAACUUAA